AUCACACGCUUUCUAGCUCAUCCACUAGGGUUCCAGCCCUUUUCGCUCUCUCUUUCUCCCAUUUCUCCCCCACACUUGCUCGUCGUCGAUCUCAUCAGUGGCCGCCACCACGCGAUUACUCUUUGUAUCUUUCUGUGAUUACCGAGAGAACGUAAUCACUGGUGUUCGCUAAACGCAGCACUUCGAUCUUUUCGAGUAGAAAAUGAGCUUUAGAUCGGUUGAUCCAUGCGUGAGAAGCCUUGGGUUUUUGUGAAGGUUUGAGGUUAGUUAAAGAAAUGAGAAGAGAGGAAGAUUCAGGCGCUGCGCCCAACGCUGGAGGCGGUAGGAAGACUUUCUGGAGGUCGGCGUCCUGGUCUUCUUCUCGGACUGCAUCAGUUCCUGAUGAUGUUGCAACGGGCGACACAUCAGAGAACGCUUCUUCCAAUGGUCAGUUUCGACGCUUCCCGCCUACUCCCCUCACGCCUAGAUCUAACAGCAGUAAGGCCCGUUCCUGUCUUCCUCCUCUGCAACCCCUCUCUAUUGCUCGCAGGAGCUUGGACGAGUGGCCCAAGGCCAGCUCUGACGACGUUGGGGAGUGGCUUCAGCCCCCCACGCCGAGUGGUAGAACGGAAGCAAGCAGACCCGGGGAAGGUCUGACGGUGGACUUAUCAUCGUUACGUUCUCAGGUUAAAAAAGAUCAGAUCGCCUUCUUUGAUAAGGAGUGUUCCAAGGUGGCAGAUCAUAUCUACCUUGGUGGAGAUUCCGUGGCUAGGAAUAGAGAGAUCCUCCGCGAGAAUGGUAUCACCCAUGUCCUCAACUGUGUCGGAUUUGUUUGUGCGGAGUAUUUCAAAGCCCAUCUCGUGUACAAGACACUCUGGUUGCAGGAUAGCCCGACCGAAGAUAUUACUAGUAUAUUGUAUGAUGUGUUUGAUUACUUUGAGGAUGUUCGGGAGCAGGGUGGGAGGGUACUGGUUCAUUGCUGUCAAGGAGUAUCCCGAUCAACCUCGCUUGUGAUAGCCUAUCUCAUGUGGAGGGAAGGACAGAGUUUUGAUGAUGCCUUCCAGUUUGUGAAAGCUGCAAGGGGUAUUGCCAAUCCGAACAUGGGUUUUGCGUGCCAGUUGCUGCAGUGCCAGAAGAGGGUCCAUGCAAUUCCAUUGAGCCCAAGUUCAGGACUCAGGAUGUACAGAAUGGCACCACAUUCACCUUAUGAUGCCCUGCAUCUGGUUCCGAAGAUGCUUAAUGAUCCAUCUCCUGCUGCUUUGGAUUCAAGAGGGGCGUUCAUUCUCCAUGUCGCCUGCACAAUUUUUGUAUGGAUUGGUAAGAACUGUGAUAUGGUAAUUGAGAAGGAUGCUAAAGCUGCUGCGUUUCAGGUUGUAAGAUAUGAGAAAGUGCCUGGGCCUAUUGUCACAGUUGAAGAAGGUGAGGAACCAGCAGAAUUUUGGGAUGCCUUUUCUAACCCAAGAUCUGGUUUAGACAGUGUUGCGAAAGUUGAAAAAGAGGAGGUUGAAUCUGGAAAAAGGCCCCUUGUGGGUAAGAGGAGAGUGGAGGCAUAUGACGUUGAUUUUGAUCUUUUCUACCAAGCUAUCACCGGAGGUGUUGUUCCUCCAUUUCCAUCAUCUGGACCAGGGCAGGAAACACACCUUCCAGCAAGAGAAAGCAAUUGGAGCAUACUGAGACGCAAGUUUCUUUCUCGUACAAUGUGCAGGGUCUUUUCAGAUGCAGCAGUCAUCCGAGAGGUAGAUCCGUGUGUUAAUAGGGUUCAGGUUUUGAAUGUGGAGCCAUCAACAUCUCCAACUUAUCUUUCUCCUAAUUCAUUUUCAUCUGACUCAAGUGGUAGUUCAAAGUCUAGCUCCGAAUCUCCGAUAAUAUCUCCUUCAACAUCUUCCUCACCCUUGUUUACACCUUCACCAGCUUCAUCUAGUUUACUUAAACCAGUCAUUCAACCAUCUAAAUCUUCACAACUUUCUCAUGACCAUGAACAGCCAAGAACCAAUCUGCCGGCAACAAUUUCACCUUCAAAGGGCUUGUCACGCUCCAUUGCUGAGAGAAGGGGUAGCUUUUCUCUUUUAAAAUUGCCAGUGCUGAAUAAGGAUGACUCAUUAUCAUUCAGAAAGGUCUUAGGUGCUUCAUCACCUACUCAUCUUGAGAGUACACAGAAAAUCUUUGAGCGUCAAGAUUGUGACCCUACUUUAGUAGUUGAUGAUGCAGACACUAAAGAUAUGGUAGUGGAACCAUCAAUUUCGAAAAAUAUAGGUGAAUUUGAUGUUAAAGGUUUAAGAGGCCAUGUUGAUAUUAAGGAGGAUCAUCUCCCGAGAGAUGGUCCCCUGAGAUCUAACUCUCUGGGUCUGCUUGAUAUUUUUCGAGAAUCUAGAAAUUCUAUGGAAGCGAUAGUUUUUCGCUGGCCCAACUUCGAAAAGUUGACCACAUUCAGCAGAGAGAAUCUUGAUCCCCAAGAAGUUUUAAUUUUCCUUCUUCGGAAUACUAGCAAGGACAGGCUGCCAUUUAGGAUGGUGUACUUAUGGAUAGGAAGUAGCUUCAAGCAGGUUAAUAGAGAGAAUCAAUUAAAUAACGACGAAGAUAAAGGGGAAGGUAAUCAGAUUAAUUGGAACCAAGUUGGACGUAAUUUUCUUGCUUUCAUGGGUCUCCCCAGCGAUCUUCCAAUCAAGGUUUUUGAGGGACAAGAUCCAGACAAAUUUGUAGAAAUGCUGAAUCCUACUUAAUUCUGUAUGCAACAAAACUUAACCAAUUUGAGCUAUACCGUCUUAUACUUCAACGGCCAUUUAUGCUGUAGAAUUCUGUUAAUGCAUUGAUCGGAUAGUGUAGACCAGCAAAGGGUGAAGAGGAGGCUUGCCAGAAAUUUGCACAGUGGUUGUUCCAGUUGUACAGUGCCCACUCCCCUGUAAGCGCAAUUUAUUGGAAAAAAAAAACUUGGUUCAUUUUUUUCUCUCCUGAUAGCUUCUGUACAUUGUCGUGGGACUCCUUAUUAGCCCGUUUAUCCCGUUAAUGAACUGAUAUUUCAUUACUAAUGCAUCCAGCAUUGCUCA